UUUUUUUUUAGUGAAGUGUUAAAUAUCUCAUGCCAUUUACCGACCACUAGGCUGAAAGUGAAGAACAGGUGGCUGUAUGGAUCACACUCGCUGCAUGGUGGAGUUGGCAAGAUCACGUCACACAUAGUCCCUGCUGUAAAAUAAGUUCUCAACAAAUAAAAACCAAGGAGAAGAGGUGCCAGAGAGCUUGUCUUUCACCACCUCAAACUUCCAUGUCGGGAGUUUCCAUGACUCCCAGGAGUCAGACUUCUUGCCAAGAAGGUCAAGUACCAUCUUUCCAUCAGAGCAGGGCUUCUCCACAGUGCCAUUAUUGAUUCUCUGAGCUGGAUGAUUUCUUUGUGCUGGCUAGCCAACCCCCCUCAGGCAUUGCUGUUCCCUAUAAGCCAGAUGUCAGCAGUACCACCCUCUGUGCUCUCCAGAUGUGACAAUCAAAAAUACCUCCAGACAUUACCAAGUGAUCGCUGGGAACAGCCCUUCCCAGUUGGGAACCAGUGUAUUAGACCAGAAAAUGACUGCUGAAACACACACAGCUUUGAACAUAUUAUGGUAUAUCCAGUUGCUUCUAGAUCAAUGAUACAGUUUUUUCUUUCAUUUUUUGUUUGUCCCUUAAACUGCCAUAAUACUGAAAAACACAUCAACAUAAGGACUGUGUUGUUAAGAGAGAGAAAUAGCUAUAUAAUAAUAAUAAGAUAUAUAUUGAAUAAGGAUUUGUAGCAUAUGUGAUAUUGUGAAUUAAACCUGUUGUUAUAAAAUUGAUGCAGUCAGUCACUCAUGGAAUAUUAUCUGUUUUUAGCAUUUUUGUUGUUUAUGCUGAAAUCUUGAAUGCAAUUUAUUUUGGGGUAAGGGUGCGAGGUAUGUAUUAGCCUUAUUUCUUUUCCAGAUGGAGGAACUUUGUCUCAAUACCAUUUGCUGAACAAAUCUAUGUUUUCCUGGCAGAUGUCAAAUGGCAUCAUUUCCUAGUAAAAUUUUUCCUAGUUCCCUGGUCUGUUUUUGCACUUUCUGGUUCAUUCCACUGAUAUCUAUUUAUGGACCAUUUCAGUUGGUGACCCCUGAUUUGAAGUUUUAU
rnacentral:lncRNA from 1 species